rnacentral:lncRNA from 1 species
GGGACACCCAAAGGGGGACAGUGAGCCCACUGUGUCUUUUAGAACCCAAAGCGAGUUACUGCAAACCUCAGGCAAUUGAAGUGAAUAUUGGCUAGCUCAAAAGGCUGUGAAGAUGACCACCGUAUCUAUCUGAGUAAUUUUUUUCUUCUGUCUCAGUCUUGAAAUCAGGCAUGGUUAUUUUUAUUUUCGGUGUAUGCAGGCUUAACCUAUGUGCUUAUAUUCACAAUGAACUCUUGAAUCGGAUCCUCUGUGUUUUGCUGGGGAGUAUUCAUUCCCCACUUGACCUGCUUUGUUGCUCAAAACUUUGUAGCUCAUCUUUGCCUUCCCGUCUGUUUAUUCUUGGUGUGGGGUUGUCAAGGAGAAAUGUUGGAAGGGAGAGAAGGGAGCAGGCAUCAUAGAUGGUAUUACAGGCGGCUGGUCUCUCCUCUCUCAGCCAACUAUGAGAACUAUUUGGGAUUGAAGGAGAUAAGCUACAGCAAGUCGUUACUUGUCCUGAAUGCACGACCUUCUUUCUUUGAGCAAGAGGACAAACCUGGGUAGGGAUCUCUAUGAUGUUUUCUGCGUUGCCCGUGGACGUUCAUCUUUCUGAUUUGUUAGCUGAAGAUGAGGAUCUGGAGCAGGAGCUCGGAGUGCCAUUGUUCCAUGGGCAGAUGUGCAGCAGAGAUUAGCAUUAGGAAGACAAGCAGGGCCUUCAGUAGGCAUAAGGUGAUGAGGUUCAUGCCGUUGGAUCCCACGGGUGCCCUGGGGAAGAGAUGGUUGGGAAGUCUGAGAGGAAGCAGGAGAGCUUUCGGAGCACAUGGAUGCCGUCCAGAAUGGAGAUGGUUGUGGCUCGGAAGAAAAAGAAAUCACCCAGCUCGGAGUCAGGAUACAUUUGGAGGUCCAGGCCGCCGAGUUUGCUGGUGGGGAAGAUAGGCACCAGAAAGGAAAGAGGACAUCCAGGGCAAUUUCUUCUGCCCCCCAGCCAAUCCGUACAUUGUCCAGAGGGUCUUGCUCUGUCAUCCAGGCUGGCGCGAUCUCGGCUCA